CAUGAAUUUAUCUAGUUCUUUUUUGAACCUUCUUAUGGUCUUGGCCAUCACAACAUCCUCUGGCAAGGAGUUCCACAGGUUGACUGUAUGGUUUCACAGGUUCUCUGUGGAAGCAACCAUCAUAUCUCGUUAACACUUUAGCCUUUUAACACUUUUUUUUUCUGGUUACAGUUAAUGAUAGCUGAACCUCUGAAGCUGUGGCAUUUCAGUUCCAAAGAAUAUCCAGAUUUUUGGAAGCCUCUCUGAGCCUCGAGCUUGGAAAUCUGGCUUCCUUGUGAGAGCCAUUGAUACUACAGAAAUAGCUUUCGUGCUGCUUCUGCUUCUAGUAGAGAUGAGGCCAACCCUCCAUCCCACCCAUACACUUACCUUAUCAGAGUGACCCUGCAUUUUGGGAAAAUUUGAAAUCAAACCCAAUUUUGCCACUUGAAACUACAAUAUUGGGGGCACAUGAUUUUAAAAAAAUUCAGAAAUCACCAAAUGUGUCUGAGCUUUAAAAGUAAAUCAUUCAAAUUAAGUGUGGGGUGAAGGUUCACGCAGGGUAUUUUAUUUAUUUCAUCCAAGCCUAUUCACCCAUCUCUAGUCGCAACAGAAAUGUGAAAAUCUUGCAGCAAGAUAUUACAAACAGAGCAUGAAAAUACAUGAUGUAAAUGGCCAAUUUGCCUUGAGUACUUUUUCUCUUCCAUAAGGCCUUGUUGCAUAAUUGUUCCCUUCAGUGUCUCUCUUGUGUUUAUGAGCUGGAUAUUUGUGAGGAAAUAAUCAGAACAUUUUCUACUUUAAGGGACCAGUAGGCCCUUGGGAAUUUUGAGAGGUUUGAGUUUGAGGCAAUAGCAGGCAGAUUAGCAGGGGCUGGUCUCCAUUGGGUCACUAGCCUAAGUUUCCUGCAAAUAAAGAUUUUUUUUGCCAGUUUGUGUAAGGAUGGGAUAUACUCUGUGUUUUGCUACACUGAAAGCCUGAUGCUGUCUGGCUCAGGGCAAGGGGCAGCAAGAUUGUCUCACCUCUUGCUUUGGUAUUAAAUCAUCCUACGGAUAGACAAUUCCUGAUGAUCACCUUGUACUUUGGAGGGGUUUCUUCUCAGUUUUAGAUUGCUCAGAAAAAUGCUAGAGUAGAGUAGCAGCCAGUUUACAGAGAUGAAGAGCCCUCACGUGAAUAAUACUAAGGACUUAUGAACACUUCAUCCAUAAACAUGAAAGCAUUUUACAAAGGUAACCAUCAUUAUGUCAGUUUUUAUAGAUAGGGUAAAUGAGGCACAGAGAUUAAAAGACUUGCCCAAAAUCACACAGUCAGUGGCAGAGCUGGGAGUAGAACCCAGAUCCAGUGUUUAUAACUGGCACCACUACCUUCCUCAAGAGGAGUCCUACUGAAUCUUACAUGUAAGGGCUGCAUUAUUAGGUACUAUGUGAUCCAUUGUGGAAUUUAAAAGUUUAAAGGACCUGGAGCUAUACUCUUUACAAAUUACAGAAGCCACAGUUUUGUAUUAGAGCUUCAGUUGGCACCCAGAUAGCAUGGUACUGGGGCCGAGGUUGUUCAAGAGCUAGCCCUGCCUAUUUUUCAGAUCUCUUUUAGGGUAACUGAUCUGUUUUGGAAUCAGAACUCUGAGCCUCAAUUUUCAAGUGUUAAUUUGUCUAUCAAAAGUCAGUUAGUGGUGGAACUUGUCAUGCAAAUGAAACAGCGGAAAAGUCUGUCUUCCAACUACAUCUGUGUGGAUUGUGCUGGGCAACCCUUUCUCCUCCUCUUCUAUACAUCUUCUCUAACUAGCCCCAUGCAAAGGAAAGAUAGGAAGAAUGGUAAGAGAUCAUCAAUAUGGCUGCGUCAAGAGCUCUUUACAGACCUGAAAAUAAAUUUUAAAAAAGUGGAAACAAUGACAAUUGCUAAGAAUGGGUAUAAAUGAAUAGCACAAGCAGGUAAGGACAAAAUCAGAAAGGCUAAAGGCAAAAAAGAUGACUUACAACUAGCAAGGAAAAGAAUAGGUUCUAUAAAUACAUUAGGAGUAAGAGAAUAAUGGGGGAAAGUGUAGGUCCCUUACUUAAUGAGGGAAGGAGAGCUAAGAUCAUAUAGAAGAUGCUGAAGUGAAGUGCUCAGCUUUGCUAAAAAAAUAAGUUAAUGGUGACCAUAUGCUUAGCACAAUUAAUAUUAACAAGGGAGAAGGAUCUCACAUCAAAACAAGGAGAGAACAAAUUAAAGAAUACUAGAUAAGUUAGAUGUUCUUAUGUUGGCAGGGCCUGAUGAAAUUCACCCUAGAAUAUACAUAAACUAGCUGAAGCACUCUGAGCCAUUAGCGAUUAUUUUUGAUAACUCAUGAAAGGCAGACAUGGUCCUAAACAGGGUCAUCCAAAAGUGGAGAAAGAACACCUUGGGAGUUACAGACCACUCAGCCUAAGUUGGAAAGAUACUGGAACAAAUUAUUAAACAAUCAAUUGUUCAAACCUAGAAGAUAAGUAAUAGCUAACAUGGAUUUGUCAAUAACCAAUCGUGCCAAACUAAUAUAAUUUCCUUCUUUUGCAGAGUAACCACAAUAGUGGAUGGAGGAAGCAGUGGAUGUAAUACAACUGAACUUUAUUAAGGUUUUUGACACUGUCAUACAUGACAUAGUCCUAAGGGACAGAUGACAUUCCCUAAACUAGGGAAAUACGGUCCAGAUGAAAUUACUAUGAGUGGCAAUAAACUCACAAAUGCUAUGUGAACAUCUGUACCGAUAUCAUGGAUGAAGCUGGUGCACCAACAAAGAGGUUCUUGCAUGGAGGCAGAGAUCAGGACGUGGCUUUGCUGCUUUCAUCCCUGCCAGUCAAGAGAAGCAGGCAAGGAAGAAAAAAGUUUCCUCAGUUGAAAUCCUUUUCAUGUGAUGUUUAUAAGCUCUCUAUAAGUGAAAACCUUUGCCAUAAAGGAGAGACAGCCAAUACUGGCUAGUGCUAGAGGCAGGAUGUCAGACUCACCUAUUUUUACUAUGGUGAUGGUAGCGAUGAUAAUGGAAAAGGGAAAUAAUGAUAUUCACAUAUUGUCCAGCAUAACCCAUAUAUGCCCUAGGCAAGAUGGUGAGUACAAUUCUUUAGGACUAAAUUAGACUGGACAGUGGUGUGACCUGAGAUGGAAAAUCCUAUGGAAAAUCAGACAGCUGCAGCGGCACAGGAGCUAGCAAACAGAGCUGUAAACAGGGGAGUUUGAGUGAGAGUUUGAAAGGGGAGUUUGUAUUGUGGUGCUUGUUUGGGG